UUGCUUCAGCAGCACAUAUACUAAAAUUGGAACAAUAUACAGAAGAUUAGCAUGGCCCCUCAGCAAGUAAAUCAAAUCCCUUAUGAUUAU
rnacentral:snRNA from 1 species